UACGAGGGGGGCAAGCGUUGUCCGGAAUUAUUGGGCGUAAAGGGCGCGUAGGCGGUUAGACAAGUCUGAUGUGAAAUCUAUGGGCUCAACCCAUAGCCUGCAUUAGAAACUGUCGGGCUUGAGUAUGGGAGAGGUGAGUGGAAUUUCCGGUGUAGCGGUGAAAUGCGUAGAUAUCGGAAGGAACACCUGUGGCGAAAGCGGCUCCCUGGACCAUAACUGACGCUGAGGCGCGAAAGCUAGGGGAGCAAACAGG
rnacentral:rRNA from 1 species